CCUGCCCAGGGAGGCUUUGCAGGUGUGGCUGCUGUAUGUGUGUUGGUAGGUGGCAGACAGGAGAGAGGUUAUUUCUACACUCAGUGUUCUGAUCUAUGACCAUUUGAAUGAUUAGUAGCCUAACCUU